CUCAGAGGUUUCUGCAAAGACUAAGAUUCUAUGAUUGUAUUCUCUCAUUUCUCCCAGUGUUCUAAGGGCGAGCUGCCAUCACAAGACUGGGACGUUGGCUCCUCCAGCAGCUCUGUGCGCGCGCGGAGAAUAGCGGAAGGAGACGUGAGGAGAAUCCUCGGGCCGAAAUACAAUAGGAUUCAAGGAAAGUCUGAAGGGCGGACCUGCCCUGAAUAUGAAACGACCAAAAUCAGGUUAUGCCCUUUUUCUGUGCUCACUUCCCAGCUGCUUUUUGAGCCUAGUGGGCCGUCUGUAGGCAGGUUAUUUUGCUCAGCAUGUGAGAAAUGAGAUCAAGGCUCACCACUCAAUCAGAACAGAUGGUCGUUGAACAAUUCCCAGAUGCACAUGAUAUGUGCCUAACCCAUGAUGGAAUCAGGAUGAGAAAGCUAGAGCGGACUAUACAUUGUCCAGAAAUAUCCGGUCAUCUGAUGCAUGGUGUGCACAUCUAACACAAGCUUCGUAUUCUGUAUACUCCUGCCUUUCAAUAAGUGGCCAUUGAUAAACUGAUUCAGCUUUCUCUUAUAAUAAGCUAUUUGAGAUUUCUCUGGAUUCGUGAGAGAAAGAAAAAAGAUAAAAUGUCCAGACUCUUCUUUGCUGCUGCCACAGAGAUGGACUGUUUUACUUAUAUGAUGUGCCUAUGAUUUUUAAUUUAGGCUCCCCUAAUUUUCUUUGUUGAGCAAACCCAACUGGACAGGAAGAAGUCACUUCUGUUUCCUAAGAGAUCAUCCUAGAUAGAAUUACUACAAAUAAGGAGAAGGGGUUUUGCACUUCUGAGUGUGUUCAUCAUCUGCUAUCAGUCUCUGAGUUGUGUCAACUCUAGGUGACCCUGUCCUGUAGUUUCCUGCCUACAGCUUACAAGUUCUGCUUUCCACCAGAACACAAUUCAGCCAAGUUCUCUGCCACUUUAUAACAAGGAUUCCUCCAGUUUCCAAUAGCAUGCUUCUAAUUUCCAUGGUAUCUCUCACUAAUAUCACAUAUAAUGACCCUGUUUCUACCAAUAGUCCCUUCAAUUUAAUCUAGGCUUUUUCUAUCAUGCACUCAAAAUUCUUCCAGCUUCAGAAUUAAUAUUAAGAUGUACAAACUAUCCAAAGCAAUCCAAGGAUUCAAUACAAUCCUUAUCAAAAUUCCAACAGCAUUUUUCACAGAACUAGAACAAAUAAUUCUAAAAUUUGUACAGAACCAGAAAAGAUCCUGAAUAACCAAAGCAAUCUUGAGAAAGAAGCACAAAGCUGGAGGUAUCAUGUUCUCUCAUUUCAAACUAUACCACAAAGCUAUAGUAAUCAAAACAGUAUGAUAUUGGCAUAAAAAGCAAACACACAGAUCAAUGAAACAGAGUAGAUAGCCC
rnacentral:lncRNA from 1 species